rnacentral:rRNA from 1 species
UACGUAGGGUGCGAGCGUUGUCCGGAAUUAUUGGGCGUAAAGGGCUCGUAGGCGGUCUGUUGCGUCAGGAGUGAAAACUCGGGGCUUAACCCCGAGCCUGCUUCUGAUACGGGCAGACUAGAGGUAUGCAGGGGAGAACGGAAUUCCUGGUGUAGCGGUGGAAUGCGCAGAUAUCAGGAGGAACACCGGUGGCGAAGGCGGUUCUCUGGGCCUUACCUGACGCUGAGGAGCGAAAGCGUGGGGAGCGAACAGG